UACGUAGGGCGCAAGCGUUGUCCGGAAUUAUUGGGCGUAAAGAGCUCGUAGGCGGUCUGUCACGUCGGAAGUGAAAACCCGGGGCUUAACCCCGGGCUUGCUUUCGAUACGGGCAGACUAGAGUGUGGUAGGGGAGACUGGAAUUCCCGGUGUAGAGGUGAAAUUCGUAGAUAUCGGGAGGAACACCGGUGGCGAAGGCGGCGACCUGGGUCGAGACUGACGCUGAGGCGCGAAAGCGUGGGGAGCAAACAGG
rnacentral:rRNA from 1 species